GGAUGCGAUCAUACCAGCACUAAAGCACCGGAUCCCAUCAGAACUCCGUAGUUAAGCGUGCUUGGGCGAGAGUAGCACUAGGAUGGGUGACCUCCUGGGAAGUCCUCGUGUUGCAUUCC
rfam:Triticum aestivum genome assembly, contig: Triticum_aestivum_CS42_TGACv1_scaffold_464634_5DS